UACCUUGAGCCCACUUUUCACUCAGCUCUCUAACAUUAGAUAAGGAAGAUGAUAGUUUUGCUACAACUUGUUUUAUUUUCUGCAGCUCUUGGAGGUGCCCAAUCUGGAGUUCUGCUGGUUGAGUCUGGAGGGGAUGUCAAGAGGCCUGGGGAGUCCCUCCACCUCUCCUGUCAAGCCUCCGGGUUCACCUUCAGCAGCUACUACAUGGAGUGGGUGAGGCAGCCUCCUGGAAAGGGCCUGGAAUGGGUGGGAGAUAUAAGUACAGAUUCAUCUGAAAAACGCUACUCGGAUCAAGUCAAGGGACGGUUCACCAUCUCCCGGGACAAUUCCAACAGCCUCCUCUAUCUGCAAAUGAACAACCUGAAACCUGACGACACGGCUGUGUAUUACUGUGCUAGAGACACAGUGAGAGGAAGUGAAUCUGAAGCCAGGCAAAAACCUUCCUUUGCUCACAUAUGUUCUCUGCAAACUGCAAGAGACUGA